UCGCCGUGAUGACAUUUUUCCAGCCAUUCGUAGUUUCCACCAGAGGUCUGCAGACCAAAGAUGGUCCAAUCCUUCCUUGGAUGUCUGAGCGA